rnacentral:lncRNA from 1 species
GCUCAUGCUAUGUUGCUGAUUUGUCAUUAUUCUCUCUAGAUCCUUUCUAGUCUUGGGAUUUCCAGCUGCAGUGCUACUUUCCCUUGAAAAAGAGAAUGCCUCUAUGCAUACGUUGGUGUUUGACUUUAUUAAAACGCCUUUUGUCUGUGUAAGACUAACUUACUGUAUGACCUUGCCAUGAUUUUGUGAAGACUCAGCCUUUGCUUGUACUUAUUUGUAUGACAUUAUCAUUGUUUUGCAGAAGAGAUCUCAUUUUUAUUUCCAAGUGGGUGAUGAGCAUACAGAAUCAGAUGACCACUAUGAAACUGGGAUGGACAGUGAAUUCCUCUGUUUUCAUCAAGUACUUCUGAAGAGCGCAUGCAGUCCUUGUGAUGAGUAAAGUGAAAUGGCAGAGACAUUUAAGAAGUCUUGGUGGAAGACAAAUCAAUCUGUGUCAUAGCAAAAUAUCUUUGUCAGUGACAUGGACAGUGGGAUCAAGUGCACCCUCAGCAAGUUUGCCAAUGAUACCAAGCUGUGUGGUGAAGCCAAUGUACUGGAAGAAGGGGAUGCUGUCCAGAGGUACCUUGACAGGCUUCAGAGUUGGGUGUGUGCUGAACCUCCUGAGGUUCAGCAAGGCGAAGUACAAGGUCCUGCAUCUGGGGCAGGAUGAUCCCAAGCUAAACACAGGCUGGAGAGCAGCCCUGAGGAGAAGGACCUAGGUGCAUUGAUAAGAGAAGCUUGAUAUGAGCCAGCAAUGUGUGCUUGCAGCCCAGACAGACAACAAUAUCCUGGACUGCAUUAAAAGAAUUGUGGCCAGCAAGUGGAGGGAGGUAAUUGUCCUCCUCUGCUCUGCUCUCGUGAGGCUCUGCCUGGAAUGCUGUGUUCAGCCCUGGGACCCCCAGCACAAGGACGUCAAAGUAUUAGAACAAGUCCAGAGGAGGGUGGCAAAGAUGAUCAAGGGGCUGGAGUACCUCUCCAAUGAAGACAGGCUGAGGGAGUUGGGGUUGUUCAGCCUGGAGAAGAGAAGGUUCCUAUUAAGUCUAUGAACUCUGCUAAAUGUUCAUAAUUAGGCAACCAGUGUAUUUGUAUCAAAUGGAAAAUUAAAAGAACAAAGAAAAGCUCAUAUCAUUAUGAAGCUUAAACAAACCAGUCCAUUUUUGGGAAUGUUAUGAGAGGCGCACAAAAAAAUAUUGUCUAGUUCUUACAUACCAUCUAUCCAAGGUAGCUGCAGUUAAUUAAACUGGUAUUAAAACUGAGAUGUAAUAGAACCUCAUCAUAAUAAAAAGAGAAACCUUACUUAUUUUCUUGACAAUGUAGAG